GCGUGACUGACCUUUUCUCUGGCAGCCUGUCUAACCACCCUGGGGUAUAUGAUGGCUGGAGGAUCGGCUUUAAUUGACGUGAUAGCACCCCUGAGGUCAGGCAAGAGUCGAGUUCUGUUGACCGUCUGUUUCAAGAAAUGCUGCAGCCUGACUGCGACUUGACAUCAGAGCUGCUGAUUGAAACCACAUCACAACUGUGACAAUUUGUCGCCCGCUCUGGAACAGUUUGGCAGCUGUGUGGUGUCAUAUGGAGUCCGGACAAUCCUGCCCUGACCCCUCAAC
rnacentral:lncRNA from 1 species